UGUCUCAAAAAUGAUUUCAGG
rnacentral:piRNA from 1 species